AUUGGUGGAGCCGAGACUCCCUGGCCGCCCAGCGCUGUUUUGCUUGCUGUUGCUUACUCAAUAAAUUCCUUUCUAUUAUUAAUGCAAUGCUCUCUGAAAAUUAAUUAAGGGGGCAACUUAUAACAAAUUUGGUGCCGUGACUCGGAUGAAGGCAAUCUGAUUGAAAGACCUUCGGAGGGGGCGCCCUGCUGAUUUCAGCGGCCUUCGCUAGGACUACUUUCAUUCAAAUCCUUCACCGACGAACCCUAAAUUCGGCAGCAAGCAAAUAAAGCCGGCAACCCCUAGUAAUCUUUGUGCACGAAGACCGAACGAAGACUCAGGAGUGAAAACGGCUAUUCAAACUGCGGAGAAAAGAUGGACGCAUGCCAGCCGUGUGAAAGGACCAAUCCGGGAAGGUAAAUGGGAGGCAGCUCCAGGCCCUGACGACUUGAAGCUGACACUAAGACGGACUCGAUAAGUAUUUUAUAUUAUCUGUGUAUCAUGGGAAGGGGAGGAGGCCCUGUUUCAAAGGCUCCCUAGUAGGUUCCCCUGAAGAACACUGCUGCUGCCAAGAAGAACCGAUACCUUGUAGUUCGCUGCAACCGAACUGACAAGCGAGGCAGAGAAGUGAAAACGGUGGGGGACUGAGGGGCCGACAAUUUAGAUGGGCUCCAACCACCUCCUACGAUACAUGGGAGUCAGUAUCAUCGUUUUGGUCAGCUAUGGGUCUGCGCAUCCCCAUCAGCCUUUUAAAUGGAGCUUGAUCAGAUGGAAGGAUCAAUUCGUCAUCCAGCAAACAAUGACAGCAGGUGAUAAUUAUACCAAGGAUUCUAUACCACCCUGAGGAUUGUAUGUAUACCCAGCACACAGUGGCAAGGCAUCAUCUGGAAAGAUGGGAACCAUUCACGGCUCUAACUUUGGCCACCCUAAUAAUCCUGGGAGGAGCUGGAGUGGGGACCAGGGUAGCCUCAUUGGUUAAACAAAAUCAAGAAUUUGCUUCUUACACAUUGCUGUGGACGAGGACCUGACCCAAAUUGAACAAUCCAUCUCGGCCCUGGAAAAUCUAUCAGGUUGCUUUCAGAGGUAGUGUUACAAAAUCAUAGGGGAUUAGAUUUGGUAUUUUUUUACAACAGGACGGGCUGUGUGCAGCCCCAAAAGAGGAAUGCUGUGUGUAUGCUGAUCACACCGGAGAGGUAAGAGAUACAAUGGCAAGACCCAGGGAAGGGUUG